AAGUAAGACGCGAGGUGAUUGGCUGAUUUGGAGAAGAUAUUUGCGCGGAGGUUUGAAAAGGCUUUUUGAAAAAAAUCGUCGACGACUACAUCAAUCCAAAGAAGAAGGAGGCGACGACAACUCGACAAGAGUUGCAUUCGAAGAAAGGCCAAACAGCAGUUAUGGCUCCCUCGAAAAAAAACCGCAGGCAAAACAAUGUCAAGAAUGCCAAACUCGAAGUAUUUCUGGAGGAUUUUGACAGCGAGGUCAAGACAAUACUUGAUCAAAUGCAGGAGAAGGAGAAGCAGCUGCUGAAAGAUAUUGACAACCACUACAAUAUGACCAUCAUCAAUCUCCCAAAGGCUGUCAGGCAAAUGAAUUGGUUGGAAAUUUUCAGU